rnacentral:lncRNA from 1 species
GUGCUUUUGGGGGUGGGGGAGGCGUCCCUCCCUGGACCCCGGCAAAGCGGUGGUGAGGAAGGCUGGGAGGUGAGGGGCAGGAGACUGAAGCCAACCUCGUACUGAAGAGCAGCUGUCAUUGCAGGGGAGGAGCCCCAGCCCCGCGACGAGGAGGAAGCGGAGCUGGAGCUGCUGAGGCAGUUUGACCUGGCCUGGCAGUACGGGCCCUGCACCGGGAUCACACGGCUGCAGCGCUGGUGUCGGGCCAAGCAGAUGGGCUUGGAGCCUCCCCCAGAGGUGUGGCAGGUGCUGAAGACCCACCCCGGAGACCCCCGCUUCCAGUGCAGGUCAGAGACAGGCCGGGAGGGCUUUCAGGGGAGCCAGGGCCUUCUCCAGGCACUGUCACCCUGCUGUCCUGACCUGAGGGAGAAAUGGAUGGAGGGUUGGAAGGCCUUGCUGAACAGGCAAGAAGAUUCUAUGAGGUGCCUGGCUCAGGAGGACACGCCACUAUAAUAAUUCUUUUUUUUUGAGACAGAGUCUUGCUCUGUUGCCCAGGCUGGAGUGCAGUGGCGCGAUCUC